GACGAACGCUGGCGGCGUGCUUAACACAUGCAAGUCGAACGGAAAGGCCCUGCUUUUGUGGGGUGCUCGAGUGGCGAACGGGUGAGUAACACGUGAGUAACCUGCCCUUGACUUUGGGAUAACUUCAGGAAACUGGGGCUCAUACCGGAUAGGAGCUCCUGCUGCAUGGUGGGGGUUGGAAAGUUUCGGCGGUUGGGGAUAGACUCGCGGCUUAUCAGCUUGUUGGUGGGGUAGUGGCUUACCAAGGCUUUGACGGGUAGCCGGCCUGAGAGGGUGACCGGCCACAUUGGGACUGAGAUACGGCCCAGACUCCUACGGGAGGCAGCAGUGGGGAAUAUUGCACAAUGGGCGGAAGCCUGAUGCAGCAACGCCGCGUGCGGGAUGACGGCCUUCGGGUUGUAAACCGCUUUCGCCUGUGACGAAGCGUGAGUGACGGUAAUGGGUAAAGAAGCACCGGCUAACUACGUG
rnacentral:rRNA from 1 species